GCUCAGAGAGAGCCCCUGCCAAGCCACUUCCAUCCCGAGACAAGGGGUGUCUAGAAGGAUACUGGCUGUUCUGUCCUUCCAGUUCAUCUCUGUCCCCUUCCUUCCCCCUCCUUGAUUCCCUCCACCCAGCUGAAGGUGACCCCAUGCUUUGGCUGUCUGAUAACAUGAAGUUGACAAAAAUAUGCCGUUGAGCAAGAGCCCGACACGUGUCAUUCUAGCCUGAUUUCCUGCAUCCUCCGAGUCCUGCGUAUUGGUCAAUUUUGAGACUCAGGAUUCAGAAUGAGUUUUGUGUUAGCUCGUCGGGUGGCUCGGUUUUACCUUAUCCACCAGGACCACUUCCUGGCCUUAGGUCCUGUCAUCCAUGUGGCUGAAACCACACCAAGCCCUACUCCCCUGAGAGAGAAGCCUACAAACAUAAGAGAAUGCAAGUAACAUUCGCCCCCUCUUGAUCACACGAGGAGGGAACAGCUUUAUCCUGCAACUGAUAGUUUCCUUGCAAAAACCACCUGGAUUCCUGCUGCAACCUCUAGGAUCAGAGUCGACCAGGCUGCAAAUUUGGGCAAGCACCGUAGGACCUGCGGCUUAUCUUUCAAUAACUGUUAGUUAAGAGUAGUGUUCUGACCAGGCCAUCUUUUUUCAAAUUAGUUUUUUUUUUUCCCUAAAGUGUAUCCAUUUUCCGAGUACACGGAUCUAACUGCACAUCUGACUUGGUCCACAGUGACUCCUGUGGCACACACACAGUCUUCCAGCUUCAGCGAGACUUUGCGCUUGCUCUUCCCCCGAGAUGUCAGUCAUCGACAACGUGCAACGGGGAUUGCGGAUCAAGAGCACUAUCCCCGUGGGCAUGCGAGAAACGGAAGGUUUAAGGUUUGCAUAUACCUAAGUAAUGAGCAUGGGCUUUUGGUGACAUUUUCUGGUCAGGGCUGGCCAGCCAGCCCGCCAAUAGGUUUGCCGAAACCAACACCAGGAAAUCCAGCAAAGCAAAGAGCAGUUUAAAGCUGCAGAAGAAGGGAAAAUAUAAAUUGAAACCUCACUUUUCCUAGAACUGCUUCUCUGGCUGCCCUGGCUAAGAGAGGAGGAGAGAAGGAAAACAAAGGGAUAUUUCAACAGUCAAAAUGGAAGGGACGAAGCCAAUGCACCGGAUAUCACAGACCAGGAGAGGCGGCCCCCAAAUAAACAAUGAUCACCUGGGGUGGAGAGAAAGACAGUCUUGGAAAGACUAAGGUAAAGCAAACCUGUGCAGAGGCAAAAUGUCCAGCACUCAAGAGACCUCACGCACCUAUCACCCAACAGUCUAGAAAAGGCAGUGACGCGGGGUAGGUCCUCAAUCCACACGCACCUGAAUAGUGACCCAAGACUUCAGUAAAAACAGAAAUUGUAUUUUAAUAUAAAUUUUGAUUUGGCAUGAUUAGAAGUAGGGUAACUUUUCU
rnacentral:lncRNA from 1 species